AGAGAGGGGCAGUCGGUCUGUACAUGCGUGAGGUGGCGAGAGGCGUGUCCAGGGGGCGGCUAGUAGCGUGUGCCACCGUGGAAAUAUGUACAGACAUAAAGAAGACGCCCUCAAGAAAGGCCUGAGUCCAGACCGAGACCCAGAGAAAUGUAAACAAACGCACCAGUCAGACUUGAUAUAGGAGUGAAUUUGUUGCUUUUUAAAGCGGCAGUCGGUCUGUACAUGUGUGAGGUGGCGAGAGGCGUGUCCAGGGGGCGGCUAGUAGCGUGUGCCACCGUGGAAAUAUGUACAGACAUAAAGAAGACGCCCUCAAGAAAGGCCUGAGUCCAGACCGAGACCCAGAGAAAUGUAAACAAACGCACCAGUCAGACUUGAUAUAGGAGUGAAUUUGUUGCUUUUUAAAGCGGCAGUCGGUCUGUACAUGUGUGAGGUGGCGAGGGGUGUCGCCAGGGGGCGGCUAGUAGCGUCUGCCACCAGGGAAAUAUGUAAAAACAUAAAAAAGACGCUUCUCAAGAAAGAGAGGGGCAGUCGGUCUGUACAUGCGUGAGGUGGCGAGAGGCGUGUCCAGGGGGCGGCUAGUAGCGUGUGCCACCGUGGAAAUAUGUACAGACAUAAAGAAGACGCCCUCAAGAAAGGCCUGAGUCCAGACCGAGACCCAGAGAAAUGUAAACAAACGCACCAGUCAGACUUGAUAUAGGAGUGAAUUUGUUGCUUUUUAAAGCGGCAGUCGGUCUGUACAUGUGUGAGGUGGCGAGGGGUGUCGCCAGGGGGCGGCUAGUAGCGUCUGCCACCAGGGAAAUAUGUAAAAACAUAAAAAAGACGCUUCUCAAGAAAGAGAGGGGCAGUCGGUCUGUACAUGCGUGAGGUGGCGAGAGGCGUGUCCAGGGGGCGGCUAGUAGCGUGUGCCACCGUGGAAAUAUGUACAGACAUAAAGAAGACGCCCUCAAGAAAGGCCUGAGUCCAGACCGAGACCCAGAGAAAUGUAAACAAACGCACCAGUCAGACUUGAUAUAGGAGUGAAUUUGUUGCUUUUUAAAGCGGCAGUCGGUCUGUACAUGUGUGAGGUGGCGAGGGGUGUCGCCAGGGGGCGGCUAGUAGCGUCUGCCACCAGGGAAAUAUGUAAAAACAUAAAAAAGACGCUUCUCAAGAAAGAGAGGGGCAGUCGGUCUGUACAUGCGUGAGGUGGCGAGAGGCGUGUCCAGGGGGCGGCUAGUAGCGUGUGCCACCGUGGAAAUAUGUACAGACAUAAAGAAGACGCCCUCAAGAAAGGCCUGAGUCCAGACCGAGACCCAGAGAAAUGUAAACAAACGCACCAGUCAGACUUGAUAUAGGAGUGAAUUUGUUGCUUUUUAAAGCGGCAGUCGGUCUGUACAUGUGUGAGGUGGCGAGGGGUGUCGCCAGGGGGCGGCUAGUAGCGUCUGCCACCAGGGAAAUAUGUAAAAACAUAAAAAAGACGCUUCUCA